rnacentral:rRNA from 1 species
CACGUAGGGCGCAAGCGUUGUCCGGAAUUAUUGGGCGUAAAGAGCUCGUAGGCGGCUCACUAAGUCGGAUGUGAAAACUCCAGGCUCAACCUGGAGACGCCAUUCGAUACUGGUGUGGCUUGAGUUCGGUAGGGGAGCACGGAAUUCCUGGUGUAGCGGUGAAAUGCGCAGAUAUCAGGAGGAACACCGGUGGCGAAGGCGGUGCUCUGGGCCGAAACUGACGCUGAGGAGCGAAAGCGUGGGUAGCAAACAGG